rnacentral:rRNA from 1 species
CCUACGGGAGGCAGCAGUGAGGAAUAUUGGUCAAUGGACGAAAGUCUGAACCAGCCAAGUAGCGUGCAGGAUGAAGGCCCUAUGGGUUGUAAACUUCUUUUAUAUGGGAAUAAAAUAUUCCACGUGUGGGAUUUUGUAUGUACCGUAUGAAUAAGGAUCGGCUAAUUCCGUGCCAGCAGCCGCGGUAAUACGGAGGUUCCGAGCGUUAUCCGGAUUUAUUGGGUUUAAAGGGAGCGUAGGUGGGUUGUUAAGUCAGUUGUGAAAGUCUGCGGCUCAACCGAACAAUUGCAGUUGAAACUGGCAGUCUUGAGUACAGUAGAGGUGGGCGGAAUUCGUGGUGUAGCGGUGAAAUGCUUAGAUAUCACGAGGAACCCCGAUGGCGAAGGCAGCUCACUGGACUGCAACUGACGCUGAGGCUCGAAAGUGUGGGUAUCAAACAGGAUUAGAUACCCCAGUAGUC